rnacentral:rRNA from 1 species
AUUGAACGCUGGCGGCAGGCCUAACACAUGCAAGUCGAACGAGUGGCGGACGGGUGAGUAAUGUCUGGGAAACUGCCUGAUGGAGGGGGAUAACUACUGGAAACGGUAGCUAAUACCGCAUACCAUCGGAUGUGCCCAGAUGGGAUUAGCUAGUCGGUGGGGUAAAGGCUCACCUAGGCGAAGAUCCCUAGCUGGUCUUAGAGGAUGACCAGCAACAUGUGAACUGAGACAGGGUCCAGAGUCUUACGGGAGGCAGCAGUGGGGAAUAUUGCACAAUGGGCGCAAGCCUGAUGCAGCCAUGCCGCGUGUAUGAAGAAGGCCUUAGGGUUGUAAAGUACUUUCAGCGGGGAGGCGUUACCCGCAGAAGAAGCCCCGGCUAACUCCGUGCCAGCAGCCGCGGUAAUUC